AUUGAACGCUGGCGGCAGGCCUAACACAUGCAAGUGGAACGGUAACAGGAAGAAGCUUGCUUCUUUGCUGACGAGUGGCGGACGGGUGAGUAAUGUCUGGGAAACUGCCUGAUGGAGGGGGAUAACUACUGGAAACGGUAGCUAAUACCGCAUAACGUCGCAAGACCAAAGAGGGGGACCUUCGGGCCUCUUGCCAUCGGAUGUGCCCAGAUGGGAUUAGCUAGUAGGUGGGGUAACGGCUCACCUAGGCGACGAUCCCUAGCUGGUCUGAGAGGAUGACCAGCCACACUGGAACUGAGACACGGUCCAGACUCCUACGGGAGGCAGCAGUGGGGAAUAUUGCACAAUGGGCGCAAGCCUGAUGCAGCCAUGCCGCGUGUAUGAAGAAGGCCUUCGGGUUGUAAAGUACUUUCAGCGGGGAGGAAGGGAGUAAAGUUAAUACCUUUGCUCAUUGACGUUACCCGCAGAAGAAGCACCGGCUAACUCCGUG
rnacentral:rRNA from 1 species